rnacentral:misc_RNA from 1 species
AAGUCGUAACAAGGUUUCCGUAGGUGAACCUGCGGAAGGAUCAUUAAUGAAUUAAACGGACAGGUUGUCGCUGACCCUCUGGGUAUGUGCACGCCUUGUUCAAUUCAUCCACACACCUCUGUGCACUCUUCAUAGAUUGUGACAAUGGAUUGUCUUUGUACGGUUCAGAGUCUCUCUAUGUAAUUUUUACAAACACUUUAUCAGUCUUUGAAUGUCUUUUACUUGCUAUAAACGCAACAAAUAUAACUUUCAGCAACGGAUCUCUUGGCUCUC